CGUCCUGUUCCCGCCUCUCCAGUUAAGGCCGCUGGUGUGAGCCGGGGCUCGGCGCGAGCGAGAGACGACGGAAGGGACGGGCAGGUGUGGGCGCGGGGCCACGCUGCCCGACGGCGGGAGUCACAGGCGCUGGGUGCAUGGGCCAGUGAGGACGCGCAGAGAUCCCCCCGCCGCGCGGAGGAGGAGCAGCGCGGGAGCCAGGCUGUGCCCCGCGACCCUGCAUCCGAGCGAGCAGAACCUCGCGCUUCGCCGGGGGACAGUCCGAAGUCCGCGCUAUGGAAGAGGAGAAAUAUUUGCCUGAGCUGAUGGCAGAGAAAGAUAGCCUGGAUCCAUCUUUUGUGCAUGCAUCGCGCCUUUUGGCAGAAGAAAUUGAAAAAUUUCAAGGUUCUGAUGGAAAAAAGGAAGACGAAGAAAAGAAAUAUCUUGAUGUCAUCAGCAACAAAAACAUAAAGCUCUCAGAAAGAGUUCUGAUUCCUGUCAAGCAAUAUCCAAAGUUCAAUUUUGUGGGGAAAUUGCUUGGACCAAGAGGAAACUCCUUGAAGAGGCUACAGGAAGAAACAGGUGCUAAAAUGUCUAUCCUGGGCAAAGGAUCAAUGAGAGAUAAAGCAAAGGAAGAAGAACUAAGGAAGAGUGGGGAAGCCAAGUAUGCCCACUUGAGUGAUGAACUUCAUGUAUUAAUUGAAGUGUUUGCUCCACCUGGGGAAGCUUAUUCACGUAUGAGUCAUGCAUUGGAAGAGAUUAAGAAAUUCCUGGUUCCUGACUAUAAUGAUGAAAUUCGUCAGGAACAACUACGUGAAUUAUCUUACUUAAAUGGCUCAGAAGAAUCUGGUCGUGGCAGAGGUAUUAGAGGCAGAGGGAUCAGAAUAGCUCCCACAGCUCCUUCAAGGGGCCGUGGAGGUGCCAUUCCUCCUCCCCCACCACCUGGACGAGGUGUUCUCACCCCUCGGGGAAGCACUGUAACCCGUGGAGCCCUUCCAGUGCCGCCUGUAGCAAGAGGUGUCCCCACUCCUCGAGCCCGGGGAGCACCAGCAGUGCCAGGAUACAGGGCACCUCCUCCUCCAGCUCACGAAGCUUAUGAAGAAUAUGCUUAUGAUGAUGGCUACGGGGGUGAAUAUGAUGACCAAACCUAUGAGGCUUAUGAUAACAGCUAUGCGACCCAAACACAAAGUGUGCCUGAGUACUAUGACUAUGGUCAUGGAGUAAGUGAGGAUGCCUAUGACAGCUACGCAACAGAAGAAUGGGCCACAACCCGCUCUAGCUUGAAGGCACCACCUCCGAGGUCAGCCAGAGGGGGAUACAGGGAACACCCCUAUGGUAGAUAUUGAAGGUCCUUCCCACCUGUGACCUCACCUCAAAGACAAUUCAUAGCCUGUGGUCUCCACAUAAACAGCAACAAGACAAGUAGUCACAAGCACAGAACACAUAAUUGAGUAAUGGAUGUGAUUUAUGAAGAAGAUGAAGAUUUCUUCAGAGAUAUUACAAAAGAGGAGUACUACAUCUAUGUAUGCCAAAGGCCGAAAAAGAAGAUAAUUUGGAUUUGAACCAAUGUAAGUUAGCUCUGCUAUGCUAGAGAGAUCCAUCUCUGGCACUCUCUACAGAUCACCAUAAUUUAGAAACUUUUCUGAAAAGCAGUAUUAAAGCUGAAUAAAUGUUUGCUAAUGAUCAAAUUUGUUCCACCACUGUAUAAAGAAUAUAAAGAUGUAUAGAGAUUGCUGAAAGAAAAUUCCUUGUCAUAUUUUCAAAUAAAUAGCAUGAAAAAUUUUACUAGUGCAGAGUAAGUUCUGUAUACGGCAGAAAAACAAAGUAAAUAUAAAUCUGUGCCUAUACUCAAAAGAUGAUUACAGUUCACUUGGGAAUACAAGAAUAUAAAUGCACAAAUGUGGAUUCUGUACUAUUAUAAAAUGCCAAAUUAUACAGUGUAAUUUGAACAGUGGUUCUUAACCACGUAUGCAUAGCAGCAUCAUGCAUGCUGUGUUUUAAAACGACAGAUGCUAGGACCCUACUGCAUUGACUAAGUACAUUUCUGAGAUCGGAACCUGGAAAUGUGUGUUUUAAAAUUCCAUGGGUGAUUUUGAGGUGUGCUAUGGAUAACAAUCACUGGAUUAAAAUAUAUGUGUAAUAUUCUAAUAUGUUAAAUAUGCAGAUUUUAAAAGUUAAUUUUGGCCAGGAUGCAAAAAGACGGCUUUAUAGAAGAGCAAUGAUUUUAAUGGAAGGUCAGAUGUGGACAGAAGAGUUUCAUCUCAACUCGCCUCACCACUACAGAUCCAAGCCUAACACAGAGCCUAACAGAAGUGGAGUCUCACUCCGUCACCCAGGCUGGAGUACAUUGGUGUGAUCUCAGCUCACUGCAACCUCUGCCUCCCAGGCUCAAGCCAUCCUCUCACCUCAGCCUCCUCAGUAUCUGGGACCACAGGCACACUCCACCAUGCCUGGCUAUUUUUUUUAUAAUUUUUGAUAAUAAUGGAGUUUUACCAUGUUGCCCAGACUUGUCCUGAGCUCAAGUGAUCCACCUGCCUCAGACUCCCAAAGUGCUGGGAUUACAGAUACUUUCCUCCAAAUACAAUCCUGUUCACCAUGGAAGACAUGAAAAGCUUCAAUGGUUGCUGCUGGGGCCUUCACCAUAAAACAGCCAUUCACCUUUGCUUUUGCUCUACCUACAAAAAAUAUUCACUGGCACACUCCAGACCUCAACUUCGAUUCAACUAUAGUCUUCAGUUACCAGACCUUAACACACAUCUGUAAAAUUGAGAAAUAAACAAGUGUUUAAAAUA